GACGAACGCUGGCGGCGUGCCUAAUACAUGCAAGUUGAGCGCUGAAGGUUGGUACUUGUACCAACUGGAUGAGCAGCGAACGGGUGAGUAACGCGUGGGGAAUCUGCCUUUGAGCGGGGGACAACAUUUGGAAACGAAUGCUAAUACCGCAUAAAAACUUUAAACACAAGUUUUAAGUUUGAAAGAUGCAAUUGCAUCACUCAAAGAUGAUCCCGCGUUGUAUUAGCUAGUUGGUGAGGUAAAGGCUCACCAAGGCGAUGAUACAUAGCCGACCUGAGAGGGUGGUCGGCCACAUUGGGACCGAGACACGGCCCAAACUCCUACGGGAGGCAGCAGUAGGGGAUCUUCGGCAAUGGACGAAAGGCUGACCGAGCAACGCCGCGUGAGUGAAGAAGGUUGUCGGAUCGUAAAACUCUGUUGGUAGAGAAGAACGUUGGUGAGAGUGGAAAGCUCAUCAAGUGACGGUAACUACCCAGAAAGGGACGGCUAACUACGUG
rnacentral:rRNA from 1 species